GGUAGGAUGGCCCUGGUUUGCGAUAGCCUCCUGAGCUUUUUGCUUCCAGGGCAACAAGUCGAGUGGGGGGCUUCUUUGGCCAGGGCUGCUGUGAAAUCUGGCGUAGGGCUGGGCCGGCCGGUCCGAGUCUGUCGGACUCCACGUAUAGGAGAAACGACAGAUGUCUAAGGAGCUUGUGGGGCGUUUGAUCCGGGCUCAUCCCUGGCACUUGGGGUGCAGGCCUGGCCCCUCUCUGGGGUGUGUUGAGGGUGAGCUCUGGGUUUGCGUUCAUGCCCCUGACUUGCUGUUCCUACAGGCCUCCCUUCAGUCUUGGGAACAGCGCUAUGUCCUGUGUGCCUGGGGGUGUCACUGGUGUCUCUCUCUUUCUACCUCUUUGCAAAAUGUCUGCAGCACUUGUUCUUUUUCUGCUCUUGUCAGGACUGGAGGGAAGGCUGUGGUGGGUUUUUUCCUGCCGCCUAAAAUGGUUUCCACCUCGGGGAGGGGUCUGACUGCACCCUGUGUGCCCUGUUUAGGCUGGGUGGGGGUAUCGCCUUUGAAUUCUCGGGGGUUGCUUUUGCCCUCAGGGCUGUGAGUCCCGUGUGCCGCGUGACUUUUCCUAAUUUAUUUUUGUUUUGGUGACAUGUACGGGAGUCAUCUGGCUGAGGCUCGAGGCUCCUAAGUGGGCAUCGGGAAGAAGAGGUGGAGAUAUAGCGCCUGUGACCUGAGGAAGCUGGUGAAAGAGACGGAUGUCGGCGCAUUCGCUUUGCGGUUGCCCGGUGUGAGACUUCUGCCCGUGUGGUGGCCCUGGGCUGGAAGCCUUGCUGCGUGAAGCCUGCGAUAGAUGUUGGAUUGCUGCUCCCUGUGUGGUGAGAAGGAUUGGCUGCAAUGACUGGAGGCCUGGAAAAGGAGCCGUGUGGCCAGAUACGGCGUGCAUUUGACUUUUGGGGCUGGAGCCUCUCGGUAGCGGCUGCGUGGCGGAGCCUGCAGUUGCCUUGUCGAGGCGGCUUCCUGGCUGCAAGUGGAACAAAUUGCCAGAGCCCAGUGGCUGGUGGUGUUGGGAUGCGCGGUGUGUGUAGUGCUUGCCUUGCUUCCCUUGUGCUGAAAGUGUGUUCUGUGUUCUUGCUAGGGUCCUGGCCUGCAUGGAGGCAAGUAGGUGAGAGGACUGCAUCGUGGAAGAGCCGUGGGACAGUGUUGGAUGACAGACGCGGACCGGCCGGAUGUUGCCCGCUACGUUGGAAUGUCCCUUCUGUAUUGGGAUUCUGCGUGGGGGUGUGGGGUGGGUUUGGGAGUGUCCUCAGCUUUAUGAUCCUGGAGCCAGGGGUUUGCAAGCAGUAUGUUUGGGUCAGUUUGUCUGUGCUGUGGGUGGACCUAGGGUGACAAGAGGUGAAAUCCAUUCCUGUGACCCUGUAGUUGGACGAGCACCCAGACACUUGCAGGAACCGCUGGGCAAGCAGGCCCAGAGCUUUCAACUGUUGAGCACGGCAGUGCUGGAGCCAGCUAGCAUGGAAGCAGAAGGGCCGGCCGGGCACGGGGCCUGGGCUGCCUCUGUGGCUUCUGUGCUAGUGAGGUUGAGAAUUGCAGUGCUGGGGGGUUGGAGGUUUUGGACCUGCUUGUGCGGGGUUCUUGUUGGUGUUGGGGUGCUGGUUCUGCUGGGUCAGAGCAAUGGGUUUUAUUCUGCCUGACUGCCAUGUUUACCGUGUCCUGCAGGGCUGGGAGCCUGUCGUAGCAGUGUGUGUUUGGCUGGGGCGGGGUGGUUGUCUGGUUUGGUCCCUGAGCAGUGUGGUGAGCAUGUUUGUUAUUACCCUGAAAUAAAAUAGUUUUCUGAUAGCCUACUGUUAGGCUAACAAUAAUUUAGAUUAUUAAGAAGUAUUAGCUUUGCAGUUGAAUACAAGGCAUGACCUGUGGCCUAGCAAUGCCGCUGACCACAAGGCAGAAUGAUAGCUAAGCCUUUGCUUAUGUUAAGUAAUCAUUUUAACUGUGUUGACUAUUUUCUGAGUAAAAUGCAGCAAGUGAAUCUGUCUGUGUGCUGUAAACCAGAUACAGCAAGGAACAAGGUAAGAGGAAGAAGGCAUUGUUCUAAGUACAGUGAUCGUGUCCUUAAGAAGUAUCUAGUACUGUGCAAGUUUUUGCUAAGAUAUCAUAAUGUUACUGUUACUUAUGUUAGAAAAUAUUGUUGGAAAAUCAAUGUGACCUUUGUAUGACCUUUGGUCAAUGCUGGCUGAUGCAACCUUGCAGUAAGAUUGCCAUGAUCUGUCAAUAUAGGCGGGCAGACAAGGUGAUUGGGCCCAACCGUGCGGGGUGAGCAAAGCCAAGCCAUCUUGGUGAUUUCCUCUGAGUUUUGCGCAUGCGUUAUGAAGGAGCUUAUGUAACCAGAGUUUAUAAAUCUAUGUGUUGAGUUGCAGUCGGGGGGUCUCUCUGCCCUUACGAGGACAGGGGACCUUUGGUCGAAUAAACUGAAAAGACCACACCCUCGUCUCCUGCUUAUUGGAGUCUCAGCUGGGAAACGAGCCUUGUUCAGGUUAAGAGAGUCUGCAGGUGUUGCCUUACCAGACUGGGAGCCUGGUCAGACAAUUUCUCUCACAAUUUGGCGAGCCAGCCAGGAGCACCCAGCUCGUCGCGUCGCCGCUGCCGCCUAAACCCAACCUCCGGCCGGCCGUAACAGAGGAGUCUCUCUAGUGUUUACACAGGUCAGCUGCUUUGGUUCAGCCGGUACCCCUGGACUGUAACCUUCACUCCUAUCAAUCAGGACGCUGAGUUUGGGUAAAACAACAUCGGCGAAAAACCGCCUCGGCCCAAGUCUGGGCAGGUCCGUACCAAGUUCUUCUUACUAUACACGCUGCUGUGAAAAUCGCCGAGAAAGAGGGCCGGAUUCAUCGCGGUCGCCUCAAACCUGGUAUCGGCAAGUAAUGACCGGUCAGCUGUUGUUCCGCCUUUAUGGCUAGAAAGAAUCGGAGAAUCGUGGACCGUUCAGACUCCUUAAUAGAAAUGAUACGUGUAUUAAGCUUGCUUUGUAUUAUCUUUCUUGUUAUACUUUGUGUUUGUAUUUCACUGUGGAUGCAGGGAAGGUUAUAAGUUAAUAAUGGCAUUUCACCGGGCUAUCCUAACAGGAUUAUUGCUCUUGAUGCAUAAAACACCACGGCUAUUUAUGGGAAAGCGAUACAGAACAGGAAGACCAGUGGAAAGAUAAUACUUACCUGAUUUCCACUAUAGCUAUAGCACAGGCCCUAAAAUUUGUCUAAUGGUUGGAUAUGUGGUACACAGUCUCCUUCUACUAACUUUCCACCCUAUUCUUUAAUCUCUUGGGAAGGGAUUUUUUCUAAUCCAGAGUGGGUUGAUACGGAUAGAGCUGGAAUAAGUACCUGGGAGGACAAUCCUUAUUUUAAAGAGAGAGUACUUUCAGACAUCAUGUUAUCUGCCCAGGUGUGUUGGGAAAAUCCUCAUGGAAUAGGAAAAGAGAUUUUUAGGAUGGCAACCAGGUUGUAAACUAACCAUUAAUGCCACACACUUAAUUUGGCCUAACAAUACUGCAGUGGGGACUAAAGAAGCUGAAAAGAAAGGUUACAUCCCCUGGAAUGUGUCUGCUCCCUGCAGUUCCUUGCAGCGUCCUUAUGUAUGGCAAUGUAUGGAAGGUUCCGUCCGAUGCUCCGCCCCUAAUAAAACUUGGGCUUGGAGUCACGGCUGUUUCACGUCUUGCAUAUACAGCUCCUUUGCAAAGCCAAGUUGUUCGUAUGUUAACUAUACCAUUUACAGAGACGGUUCAGUACCUUGCCCCAGAGAUCCUCAUACUACCGCAUCAAUCAACUAGCACAUGCGUUAGAACUUAUUGCCAAUAGCACAGCAGAGGGCAUUGAAUUAGUGCAAGACCAGGCUUCUUGCAACCAUGCUAUGACUUUAGAAAAUCGCUUCGCUUUAGACUAUUUGUUAGCUAGAGAAGGAGGGGUAUGUGCUUUAAUCACAGGAGGACCCUGCUGCACCUAUAUUCCUGACCACUCUGACAACAUAACUGCUGCAGUAAAAACAAUUCGAGACACAGCACGACUUCUUUGCGAAGUUGGUCAGUAAUAGAACGGAUUGCCUCAACUUUAGGAAUGUGGGGAAGGUAUAUCUUAGAAUACAUUUUAUGGGGAUUAGGAAUCUUCUUGGUUAUUAUUGUAAUAAUUGCUGUAAUUACAGCCUGUGUAGUUUGAGUUAAGCUAAAAGUAAUUAAUCUCAAUAUUAUGCAAACCUGGGAAAUGGCCAGCAGGCCAUAGGCCUGUGGCUGUAAGGGGGGAUUGUUAGAAACUAUUGUUGGAAAAUCAGUGUGACCUUUGUAUCACCUUUGGGCAAUGCUAGCUGAUGCAACCUUGCAGUAAGAUUGCCAUGAUCUGUCAAUAUAGGCGGGCAAACAAGGUGAUUGGGCCUAACCAUGCGGGGUGAGCAAAGCCAAGCCAUCUUCUUGAUUUCCUCUGAGUUUUGCACAUGUGUUAUGAAAGAGCUUAUGUAACGAGAGUUUAUAAAGCUACAUGUUGAGUUGCAGUUGGGGUCUCUGUUCCCUUAUGCGGACAGGGGACCUUCGGCCCAAUAAACUGAAAAGACCACA